rnacentral:rRNA from 1 species
CCUACGUGAGGCAGCAGUGGGGAAUAUUCGGCAAUGGGCGCAAGCCUGACCCAGCAACGCCGCGUGAAUGAAGAAGGCUUUCGGGUUGUAAACUUCUGUUCUUGGAGACGAACAAAUGACGGUACCCCAGUUAUAACCCACGGCUAACUACGCCCCAGCAGCAGCGGUAAGUCGUAGGUGGCAAGCGUUAUCCGGAUUUAUUGGGUGUAAAGGUCGGGUAGGCGGGAAUGCAAAUCUGAUGUGACAACUCCGGGCUCAACCCUGAGCCUGCAUUUGAAACUGGGUGUCUUGAGUGCUGGAGAGGAGAUCGGAAUGCCGUGUGGAGCGGUGAAAUGCGUAGAUAUAUGGAGGAACACCAGUGGCGAAGGCGGAUGGCUGGACAGUAACUGACGUUGAGGCUCGAAAGCGUGGGGAGCAAACAGGAUUAGAUACCCUAGUAGUC